GACGAAAGUCUGAUGGAGCAACGCCGCGUGAAUGAUGAAGGCUCUCGGGUCGUAAAGUUCUGUUGUCAGGGACGAAACAGUACCGUUUGAAUAAGGCGGUACCUUGACGGUACCUGACGAGAAAGCCACGGCUAACUACGUGCCAGCAGCCGCGGUAAUACGUAGGUGGCAAGCGUUGUCCGGAAUUAUUGGGCGUAAAGCGCGCGCAGGUGGCUAUGUAAGUCUGAUGUUAAAGCCCGGGGCUCAACCCCGGUUCGCAUUGGAAACUGUGUAGCUUGAGUGCAGGAGAGGAAAGUGGUAUUCCACGUGUAGCGGUGAAAUGCGUAGAGAUGUGGAGGAACACCAGUGGCGAAGGCGACUUUCUGGCCUGUAACUGACACUGAGGCGCGAAAGCGUGGGGAGCAAACAGGAUUAGAUACCCUGGUAGUCCACGCCGUAAACGAUGAGUGCUAGGUGUUAGGGGUUUCAAUACCCUUAGUGCCGCAGCUAACGCAAUAAGCACUCCGCCUGGGGAGUAC
rnacentral:rRNA from 1 species